ensembl:lncRNA
CUGUGACCCAUAGAGAGCCAACUUAUGGGGCAGAGGGGCACUGUGACCCAUAGCGACCCAUAGAGAGCCAACUUAUGGGGCAGAGGGGCACUGUGACCCAUAGCGACCCAUAGAGAGCCAACUUAUGGGGCAGAGGGGCAUUGUGACCCAUAGAGAGCCAACUUAUGGGGCAGAGGGGCACUGCGACCCAUAGCGACCCAUAGAGAGCCAACUUAUGGGGCAGAGGGGCACUGUGACCCAUAGAGAGCCAACGUAUGGGGCAGAGGACCACUGCGACCCAUGGAGGGCCAACUUAUGGGGCAGAGGGGCACUGUGACCCAUAGCGACCCAUAGAGAGCCAACUUAUGGGGCAGAGAGGGGCACUGUGACCCAUAGAGAGCCAACUUAUGGGGCAGAGGGGCACUGUGACCCAUAGAGAGCCAACUUAUGGGGCAGAGGGGCACUGUGACCCAUAGCGACCCAUAGAGAGCCAACUUAUGGGGCAGAGGGGCUCUGUGACCCAUAGCGACCCAUAGAGAGCCAACUUAUGGGGCAGAGGGGCACUGUGACCCAUAGAGAGCCAACUUAUGGGGCAGAGGGGCACUGUGACCCAUAGAGAGCCAACUUAUGGGGUUGCGUUGCACUGUGACCCAUAGCGACCCAUAGAGAGCCAACUUAUGGGGCAGAGGGGCACUGUGACCCAUAGAGAGCCAACUUAUGGGGCUGGGGGGCACUGUGACCCAUAGAGAGCCAACUUAUGGGGCAGAGGGGCACUGUGACCCAUAGCGACCCAUAGAGAGCCAACUUAUGGGGCUGAGGGGCACUGUGACCCAUAGCGACCCAUAGAGAGCCAACUUAUGGGGCAGAGGGGCACUGUGACCCAUAGCGACCCAUAGAGAGCCAACUUAUGGGGCUGAGAGCGACACUGUGACCCAUAGCGACCCAUAGAGAGCCAACUUAUGGGGCAGAGGGGCUCUGUGACCCAUAGCGACCCAUAGAGAGCCAACUUAUGGGGCAGAGAGCGACACUGUGACCCAUAGCGACCCAUAGAGAGCCAACUUAUGGGGCAGAGAGCGACACUGUGACCCAUAGAGAGCCAACUUAUGGGGCAGAGGGGCACUGUGACCCAUAGCGACCCACAGAGAGCCAACUUAUGGGGCAGAGGGGCACUGUGACCCAUAGCGACCCAUAGAAAGCCAACUUAUGGGGCAGAGGGGCACUGUGACCCAUAGAGAGCCAACUUAUGGGGCAGGGAGGGGCACUGUGACCCAUAGCGACCCAUAGAGAGCC